CACCUUGCUGUGGAGUGUAUUGGAUUCUGGGCUCUCUCCGCUCAAGUGCUACUGACAAAUGCUCGAGAAUGGCCCAGCACACCUUGGACCCAGUGACGUCCUCUGGUCAGAAACUCCAGCACGGGGGUCCUCCUGAAGUGGACGCGGAGAGCAAGUUUAUUGAGACUCCAGUGUCAAUGUCGGGUUGGACGCUGUGUCCAACAGCCUCCCACGGUCUGGUCAUCAAAGCAAGAGGGUCACCCUUCUCCUUCCCCUUGUCCUUCGAGUUUUCCUUCCCGUACGUGCCACACGCCUGGGUCCCCUCGCCUGCCCGGAAAUUCCUCUCCAUCCGCUGGCCCAGCGAAGAGUUCUGACAGGAACAUUCUAGCUGCUGGGCUGUCUGCACACCACCAACCCCCAGGAUGGGCUCCUCAUUACCAGUGGGGCGGGUGAUAAGCAAUCCCGCACCAAGACCCUGUCUUAGCACCUGCUUUUUGGACCACUCGAGAAGCAACCGUCUCAGGUGGAAUACUUCAGGAAGCUUCCCCCGAGAGGGAGUGAGGUGUGCCAAAGGCUGACUGGAGACUAACACCCACGAAGGGAGCAGGGUGAAGCAGGGCUGGACAGGGUGUCCCUUCAGCCUGCAACGCCGAGCUGACAGUCUCUCCCAGCCCAUCGGGGAGCUGCAGAGCAGGGAUCGGCCUUUGAGGACCCGCACUCGGCCGGGUGGUCAGACCCUCACUGUGCCUGAGGCCUUGCAAUCCAGGUGGACCGAACGGGUCAAUCAACACCCAGAAUUGGUGCCCCAGGAAUGCGUGCAUACCAAGUAGCACACAUAGGGCGCCAGGUGCCUUUCCUCGGGCAAAACCGUGCUCCACACUGCGGCCGGCCUGGUGGGGGGUGUUUCGGCCUCUUGUGUGUCAGGAGACUGCUGGGUUCAGAAGCUGGUGUGCUUCCAGGGCGUUUGCCAGCUUGGCGUCUCUUAGCAUCGCUGUAAGCCCAGGCUGAUGGGAGAGGGCAGACCUGGGUAGGGAACAGCACAGGGCAAAGCAGAGUUGUCAGCAGCCACCCGUCCUGUAAGAGGCUCCUUGACGAUGCAGGUCCACAGGCGCACUCAGCUCUGCGUCCCUCAGGGCUGGUGGGGGCAUCUUCCAGGCAGUCCUGUAAACCACCUGAUCUGAAUCGAGGCCCUAUGGGGUCAGGAAAACGUGAAGGGG
rnacentral:lncRNA from 1 species